ACAUCCAGAGAAUUUAGCAGAGAUGCUUUAGUGCCUUCGGGAACUCUGAGACAGGUGCUGCAUGGCUGUCGUCAGCUCGUGUUGUGAAAUGUUGGGUUAAGUCCCGNAACGAGCGCAACCCUAUCCUUUGUUGCCAGCGAUUCGGUCGGGAACUCAAAGGAGACUGCCGGUGAUAAACCGGAGGAAGGUGGGGAUGACGUCAAGUCAUCAUGGCCCUUACGAGUAGGGCUACACACGUGCUACAAUGGCGCAUACAAAGAGAAGCGACCUCGCGAGAGCAAGCGGACCUCAUAAAGUGCGUCGUAGUCCGGAUUGGAGUCUGCAACUCGACUCCAUGAAGUCGGAAUCGCUAGUAAUCGUAGAUCAGAAUGCUACGGUGAAUACGUUCCCGGGCCUUGUACACACCGCCCGUCACACCAUGGGAGUGGGUUGCAAAAGAAGUAGAUAGCUUAACCUUCGGGAGGGCGUUUACCACUUUGUGAUUCAUGACUGGGGUGAAGUCGUAACAAGGUAAGCGUACGUGU
rnacentral:rRNA from 1 species